rnacentral:SRP_RNA from 1 species
GGCCGGGAACCGCACAACUUAGGCGCGUGAACCUCGUCAGGUGGGGAACCAAGCAGCGAUAAGCGAUGUUUUAAGUGUGAUGCGGAAGCUCCCGGCGUGA